rnacentral:tRNA from 1 species
UUUAGUUUAGUUUAGAAAAAAAAUAUAGGUUUGUCAAGCCUAAGUCUUGCUUAUGCAGAACUAAAG